CGGGGUGUAGCGCAGCCCGGUUAGCGCGCGUCGUUCGGGACGACGAGGUCGAAGGUUCGAAUCCUUUCACCCCGACUA
rnacentral:tRNA from 1 species